UUCAGACCGGGAACACCUCAAGAACCCUUGAGAAGGAGAGCUCCCAACCGUCACCCUCACAAAGAGACUCAUCACCGCUGUUCUUCUUCUUCAACCAUGCAUCAGGUGCUCGCCGGCCAUACACACACACGCAUCCAAACGACCACCCUUAUCUCCUCCAUCCUAAAGCAGAAUAAACAUACACACACACCCCCAUUCCAGUGGAGACCCUUGAUCUCUCACACAAAAAAGAACCAACAAUCUCUGCUACAGUCUCCCACCCUUAUCUCCAGCCAUCAAACCCGUCGGAAAUCUUAAAGAGCAGGGGCACCUUCAAUCUCCAAAUAAAAAAAAAGAAAAGGGCUCGCCUGAAAAGGGACUUCACACACGCACACAUAGAAACACACGAAAAUACAUGCACACACACAAACUAAAGACGGGAAAGUUAAAAAUUUGAUAGAGAAACUGAAGUUUGUUCAAUUGUUAUCCGCCGAGAUUUCCGGGAAGAUUCGUGGCUCAGGUUUGUGAUUUUGAUGGUUUGAUCCUAUUGUAAAGUUCGGGCUUCUUAAACUUUUCAAUUUCAAACGAAAGUUGCUCCAUUGGAGGUGUAUUUCUUCCCUUAAUCUUCAUUUUCUUGAUACUAUGUGAUUCUUAAUGCGAUGUUAGUCUGUUUGGGUUUAUUUUGAUUUUUGUUUCUCCACUUUCCCUGAUUCGUUUGGUAUUUGGAUAGCUUUUGUUCUUUACUACUUAGAUUUUAUGGUUCAGAAUGGCAUUUAGGUGAUCAUCGCUGAAUUGCUUGUCUUAAUUAAAUCUUAAGAUUCUCUUUAAAGGGUAAAUUGAUUGAUUUGUCUAAUUGGGUCACGGGAGGUGACAUACACAUGUAAACAAAUUAAACUUUAAAUAUUUUAUUGCUUUUAAUUUAUUUUAUCGCUUUCUUCGCUAGUAAAAAAUGAUUAGUCCAUAACACUUGGGUAGGCAAACGUUAGUAUUUUGUUAGUUUUGAGGCGAGAGCUAGUUCCCUUAGUUGAAUUUAUCCAAGAAAUGCCCAAAGGAUUUGUAUAUAUUUUAUUAUGGGAAAUGCCCCAUAGUAUUUUGUAAUUGGAGGCCGAAAGAGAACUCAUAGUACUUUUGUUCUUAUUUUAUUAUUCUUUUUGCUAUCUUCUUUAAUUAGGCCGGAACGAUCUUGAGCCUCUUUUGAUUGUUUAUUUUCUUUUCGUGUGUUUUUUCCUCAAUUGGAAUAUUUUAAAAACCAACUAGAUCGAGUACGCAGCUGUACUAGUUAUGGGACUUGGGGAGUGCCUCUCAUCUUCACCCCGAGUCAAAUGAACCCCCUUACCCGAAUCCCUGGUGCAGACUUUGUUUGGAGUCCAAAGUGUUUUUAAAGGAAAAAUUAUUUUUAAAAACGGUGACCUGGCACACUAAAACCAAUGCAUGUGGUGACUCUAAGUUAUUUCCUUUUGAACAUAAUUCUUUGUCAAUUUCAAAAUUGAAAAUCCUUGUGAUCUUCACAAAAUCCUUUUAUAAUGGAGGUCAAAGGACAGAACCUAAGUAGUCUUGGCUUUUAGUCGACUAAAAAUAGGGUUCAAAGAACUUAGGUGACAGGUGAAAGAAAGGAACAAAAUUGAGAAAUAGGAGAUGAAGGGUUUUAACAGACACAAACAAAUUGAACAUACUAAGCAAACAUUUGAUUAAAUAACAAAACUAAGAACAAUCUUAAUGCGAACUGAGAAAAUAGGUUCGACACAUAGCAUAGAAGCAGCCACCUACUAAAAUGUUAAGGAAAGAAUAUGUUUGAAGGAUUGACAAGGAUUAUGAUACACAUAUGCACAUUACUAGACAAGUUGAAACAUGGUUGAAAAUUAUGCUAAGCAUAUAAGAAACAAGUAACAUGGUAAUAAACCAAGUAAUCACAGAAAGAGCUGGGCAUCAUGUUAGCAAAGGGGAAGGAUCAACGACACACAAUAUAUGCCAGAACAUUUCUAUUGUGUAACGACCCGACCUGUCAUUUUGAGCUCUUGCACUUGAUCAGUAGUUCUCAGACAUGACUUGCCCCGUGUAAUGUGCUAUGACUGAUGUAGAUUGUUGGUUUGGUUUUCACGAAAAUUGUUAUGAAUUUGAAAGAACAGUCUCAAUUGAAAGCUUUAAAUUUAAAGGGUUUGACCAAGAGUUGAAUUAUUUGUAUAUGAGCUUGGAUAGGCGUUUUUAUGGUUUGGUUAGAUUUUUUAGGUGAUUUAUGACUUAAGAGUGUGAUCGGAAUUGGUUUUGGAGGUCCAGUGAAGAAUUAGAGUUGAAUUAGCAAAGUUAGUAUUUUGGCGAUAUCCGGUUGAUAAGUGAGAUUUUGAUCCAAAGGUCAAAAUGGAAUUUUGAAAGUUGUUUUAGCUUCAUUGUGUCAUUUGGGAUAUGUAUGCAAAAUUUUAGGUCAUUUGGAUGUGGUUUGGUCAGAUUUCUGAUCGAAAUCGUGUUUCGAAAGUUUUUAGAAUCCUUAGGCUUGAAUCGAUAUGAAUUGGUGAAUUUGAUGUAGUUUGAGGUGUUUUGAUGAUUGAAGCAAGUUAGAAUGAGAUUUUAGAAUGUGUUGGUGGUUUUGGUUGAGGUCCCGGGGGCAUCAUCUGAGUUUUAGGUGGUCAAUCAGACCAUUUUUUAAGUUGAAAAGUUGCAGAUUUUUGGAGUUCAGGUGUUGCAUAAAAUAAUCCUUCGCAUUCACGAGGGGUAUGUUGCGUUCUCAUAGGAGGAAUUUGGAAGGCAGAAGAUAAGCCUUCGAGUUUUUGUUUAAGCAUCGCGUUCGCAUAAGGCUGUGAGAUGGUUCUUCGUGUUCGCAUAUAAAGAUUUGUGGUUCAGAGGUCGUUGCUCUCCGCGUUCGCAGCUGAGGGCUCGUAUUCACAUAGGGUAAUUUUUGGAAAUUAAAGAUGUGCUUCGUGUUCGCGAAGCAAUGGUCGCGAAAGCGUUGAAGGAAUUUCAAUGCUGGGUAGAAUGUUAUAGUUUCAUUUCAUCCGAAAUUUCGGGUCAUUUUUCUUCCAUGGUUGAUCAUUUUGAGAGCUUCUUGGUGGAGAUUAAAGAGGGAUUCAAGGGGAAGCGACUUGAGGUAAGAAUUUGGGUCUUGAAACUUGAUUAUAUUGUGUAAUCCACCUACAAAUUGAUGGAACGUAAGCUAAAAAUGAAAGAAACUGGGGCUUGUGAUUUUGAAAUUUUAUUUAAGGAUUGUAAGGACCACUUAAGGUUGAAUUUAAGAACUUUUGGUAUGUAGGAACUAGUGAGGAGAUAAGGAAUCUAAUUAUGUGAAAAUUUCCGAGUUUUGGGAAGUGUGCAUUAGGCUCAGAUUUUGGUAAUUUCGGGAUUUGUGCCUAUUAUUGAUUGUUUUUUUUUGGGCUUUGUUCCUUGAGCAUAUUGUGAUGUAUUCGCUAUGAUUUUGGAUAGAUUCGACGCUCGUGAAGGCUGAUUUGAGGAGCAAAUGUGUCACGAGCUAGAGAUUUUGCUAGUUCGAGGUAAGUAAUGAUUAUAAAUGACAUUAUGAGGGUACCCUUGAUUGCACAUCGUAGUACUAUAUUGAGGUGACAUGCACUCUGGAUAGUGAGCGUGGGGGUAGAGUACCGUUGGGGAUUGCAACUUGGUCCGUCUUGAUUGAUGAUUUUAUUGUGUAUUUGACUGAAACUUACUUGUUAUCAUCAUGAUUUGGGCUGAUUUCCAUAUUUGGUCUUCGUGCCAACUAUUUGACCCCUUCAGGGACUAUUAUCACUAUUUCCUCAUAUUUUAGACUUAUUACUUGAACUCAGUCAUGUUGAUAUCUACUGUUUUACAACUUAGCCACUUUUACUCAGUUUUGAGACUUAAAUGAUAUGUUUAAAAUGAUGUUUUGUGCUAAGAACUACUAUUUUACAAAUGCCUGAGGGGCUUGUGAUGAUUUUAUCUGACUGAGUGAGGGCGAGGGCCUAUGUUGUGAGGAUACUAUGGGAUGGGGCUACGCGUCACAAAAGAGUUAAAAUGGUACCAAUUUGAGGUCGAGGGCCUGGAUUUAAUGCCACGAGAUGGCUGGAUAUUGUUCUUGGGCUGAAAGGGGCCCCUCCCGGAGUCUGCACAUCCCUGAUAAGCACCGUCUAUGAAAUAUAUAGAUCAGGCUUCACGCCGCAGCAAUAUAUGGAUCGGGCUACAUGCCGCAGCGAUGUAUGGAUCCGGCUGCAUGCUUCAGCGGUUACUAUAUGAUAUUGAUCUAUGUGUUUACUUGCUUCAUUUGUCUGCCGUUAUCUGUUAUCUGAGUUUUUUCACGUGGUAUCUACCCGAUUGUCUGGCAUUAUCUGUUGAGUGAGUGUUGUGCCCAAGGGACGGAGUUCUGUUCUUAUCUACACUAUUUGUUUUGCAUUCAUUUGCAUAACUGGUGAAAAAGACAUUUUCAAAAGAGUCUUAACUGAGCUAAGGCAUUUUCUAAGAUUUCACAGCUUCAUUGUUUUUCUCAAAAAGGUUUUACACUACUCUAUACAGCAUGAUGGUUUGCCUUACGUGAAUUCUUACUGCUUAGUUAUUAUUUAUCUUUAUUACUCACUGAGUAGGAGUACUCACUUUACUCCCCACAGCUCGUGUGUAGAUGCAGGUAUUUAUUCACCCGGUAGCGGGUUUUGAGCUGAUCGGAGGCUAAGUUAUCGGAGUUUAGCAAGGUGACUGCCACCACUAGCAGCAGCGCAUUUCUUCCUUUUGUUUAUCUAUCCUUUUUUAAAUAUUUCAGGC
rnacentral:lncRNA from 1 species